CGGACGGGUGAGUAACGCGUGGGUAACCUGCCUCAUACAGGGGGAUAACAGUUAGAAAUGACUGCUAAUACCGCAUAAGCGCACAGCUUCGCAUGAAGCGGUGUGAAAAACUCUGGUGGUAUACGAUGGUUCCGCGUCUGAUUAGCUAGUUGGUGGGGUAAUGGCCUACCAAGGCAACGAUCAGUAGCCGGCCUGAGAGGGUGAACGGCCACAUUGGGACUGAGACACGGCCCAAACUCCUACGGGAGGCAGCAG
rnacentral:rRNA from 1 species